AUUGCCCUAGUAACGGCGAGUGAAGCGGCAACAGCUCAAAUUUGAAAUCUGGCCUCGGCCCGAGUUGUAAUUUGCAGAGGAAGCUUUAGGCGCGGCACCAACUGAGUCCCCUGGAACGGGGCGCCAUAGAGGGUGAGAGCCCCGUAUAGUUGGACGCCUAGCCUGUGUAAAGCUCCUUCGACGAGUCGAGUAGUUUGGGAAUGCUGCUCAAAAUGGGAGGUAAAUUUCUUCUAAAGCUAAAUACCGGCCAGAGACCGAUAGCGCACAAGUAGAGUGAUCGAAAGAUGAAAAGCACUUUGAAAAGAGGGUUAAAUAGCACGUGAAAUUGUUGAAAGGGAAGCGCUUGUGACCAGACUUGCGCCGGGCGGAUCAUCCGGUGUUCUCACCGGUGCACUCCGCCCGGCUCAGGCCAGCAUCGGUUCUCGCGGGGGGAUAAAGGCCUCGGGAACGUAGCUCCUCCGGGAGUGUUAUAGCCCGGGGCGCAAUGCCCUCGCGGGGACCGAGGUUCGCGCAUCUGCAAGGAUGCUGGCGUAAUGGUCAUCAGCGACCCGUCUUGAAACACGGACCAAGGAGUCAAGGUUUUGCGCGAGUGUUUGGGUGUCAAACCCGCACGCGUAAUGAAAGUGAACGUAGGUGAGAGCUUCGGCGCAUCAUCGACCGAUCCUGAUGUUUUCGGAUGGAUUUGAGUAGGAGCGUUAAGCCUUGGACCCGAAAGAUGGUGAACUAUGCUUGGAUAGGGUGAAGCCAGAGGAAACUCUGGUGGAGGCUCGCAGCGGUUCUGACGUGCAAAUCGAUCGUCAAAUCUGAGCAUGGGGCGAAAGACUAAUCGA
rnacentral:rRNA from 1 species